AUUGAACGCUGGCGGCAUGCCUUACACAUGCAAGUCGAACGGUAACAGGUUAAGCUGACGAGUGGCGAACGGGUGAGUAAUGUAUCGGAACGUGCCCAGUCGUGGGGGAUAACUGCUCGAAAGAGCAGCUAAUACCGCAUACGACCUGAGGGUGAAAGCGGGGGAUCGCAAGCCCUCGCGCGAUUGGAGCGGCCGAUAUCAGAUUAGGUAGUUGGUGAGGUAAAGGCUCACCAAGCCGACGAUCUGUAGCUGGUCUGAGAGGACGACCAGCCACACUGGGACUGAGACACGGCCCAGACUCCUACGGGAGGCAGCAGUGGGGAAUUUUGGACAAUGGGCGCAAGCCUGAUCCAGCCAUGCCGCGUGCGGGAAGAAGGCCUUCGGGUUGUAAACCGCUUUUGUCAGGGAAGAAAAGGUUCUGGCUAAUACCUGGGACUCAUGACGGUACCUGAAGAAUAAGCACCGGCUAACUACGUG
rnacentral:rRNA from 1 species